GGGGCUGUAGCUCAGUUGGUAGAGCGUCUGCUUUGCAAGCAGAAGGUCGAGGGUUCGAAUCCUUCUGGCUCCA
rnacentral:tRNA from 1 species